AGAGUUUGAUCCUGGCUCAGAUUGAACGCUGGCGGCAUGCCUUACACAUGCAAGUCGAACGGUAACGCGGGGCAACCUGGCGACGAGUGGCGAACGGGUGAGUAAUACAUCGGAACGUGCCCAGUAGUGGGGGAUAGCCCGGCGAAAGCCGGAUUAAUACCGCAUACGACCUACGGGUGAAAGGGGGGGAUCGCAAGACCUCUCGCUAUUGGAGCGGCCGAUGUCAGAUUAGGUAGUUGGUGGGGUAAAGGCCUACCAAGCCAACGAUCUGUAGCUGGUCUGAGAGGACGACCAGCCACACUGGGACUGAGACACGGCCCAGACUCCUACGGGAGGCAGCAGUGGGGAAUUUUGGACAAUGGGCGCAAGCCUGAUCCAGCCGCCGCG
rnacentral:rRNA from 1 species